CCUACGGGAGGCAGCAGUAGGGAAUAUUGGUCAAUGGGCGGAAGCCUGAACCAGCCAUGCCGCGUGCAGGAAGAAGGCCCUCUGGGUUGUAAACUGCUUUUGACAGGGAACAAGUCGGCCAUGCGUGGCUAAGUGAGUGUACCUGUAGAAUAAGCCACGGCUAACUACGUGCCAGCAGCCGCGGUAAUACGUAGGUGGCAAGCGUUGUCCGGAUUUAUUGGGUUUAAAGGGUGCGUAGGCGGCCAUGUAAGUCAGUUGUGAAAUACCCCGGCUCAACCGGGGGGGUGCGAUUGAUACUGCGUGGCUUGAGUGGCAGCGAGGUUGGCGGAAUUGACGGUGUAGCGGUGAAAUGCAUAGAUAUCGUCAAGAACACCGAUAGCGAAGGCAGCCAACUAGGGGCCAACUGACGCUGAGGCACGAAAGUGCGGGGAUCAAACAGGAUUAGAUACCCUGGUAGUCCGCACAGUAAACGAUGAUCACUCGGUGUUGGCGAUAUACAGCCAGCGCCCAAGGGGAAACCCGAUAAGUGAUCCACCUGGGGAUACGCCGGNAACGGUGAAACUUAAAUGAAUUGACGG
rnacentral:rRNA from 1 species